ACGGCGGCGGCGGCGGCGGCCCUCCCCGCCUGGCAGACAGCCUGACUCAUGCGGCGGGAGGGCGGGCGGGCGAGGGAGGGAGGGAGGCAGAGCGCGUCUGUCAGCGUCUGGGCCGCCGAGCGAGCGCUCGCUAUAUAGGUUCGCUUCUACCUGACGGGGCUGCAGUCGUCUGCACGCUCCUGCGCGGUGAGGACGCCGAACGCUCAAAGAUGCCCGUCCCGUUGCGAUCCGGAGAAGAAUGCGUCCGUCAUUCCUCGUGUGAUCGAGGGAACGAGGAGGAGGAGGAGGAAGGAUGAAGGCGCAGAAGGAUGGUGGUGGACGUGAAACGCCGCGAAGGGCCUGGAGGCCGGAUUGAAUGGAAUGGGGGGUUUGCUUUCGGAAUGGGCCGAGGAGGAGAAAGUCUUUCUCAAACGUCAGCUGACAGGGCAGGCGAGUGCGAAAUAAAACCGCUCACGUCUUUCAAACGCGCGGUACCUUGACCGUCCCGUCCGUGUUUUGGGGGGCAACGGUCGGUCGAGAUUUGUCCUGGAACAUUCCUAUCUGCAUAGUUCUUGCCAAAGCUGUCUUUGAGGCUUUUUAACUCCCACUUUCAAUGAGUUAUGACUUACUUACAUAAGUGUUUGAUUUCUUUUUUUUUUUUUUUUUUGGUUGCAGUUAUUUUUGGGGUCAAAUUAGUCAUUGUGUUAGGCUGGGAACCAUAUUUGGUAACUUGAGCACGGCUUAAGGUUUUAUGCAAGUGUGCAUGUCUCAUUAUUGUAAUAAUAAUAAUUAUUAUUAGUAGUAGUAUUAUAGCUAUUGUAGUUUGUAUUAUAAUGUUAUUUUUUGUUGGUAUAUUAUUUUGGAUUUUAUUUUCUUGUUUUUAUUAAUGAGGAUGAUAAUUAUUUAGAAUUUAAUUGACUUAUUAUAUAUUUUAUUUGAUCUUUUUAAGUAUGUUUUUGUUUUAUUUGUAUAAUUUUAUUUUUAUUGUUUGCAUUUAAUUGUUUCAUUUGUAUUAUUUGUAUUAUUUUUGUUUUUAUUUAGAUUUUUUGCAUUUUAUUGUUUCAUUUGCCUUAAUUUAAUGUUUU